rnacentral:rRNA from 1 species
CCUACGGGAGGCAGCAGUAGGGAAUCUUCCGCAAUGGACGAAAGUCUGACGGAGCAACGCCGCGUGAGCGAUGAAGGCCUUCGGGUCGUAAAGCUCUGUUGUCAGGGAAGAACAAGUAUCGGAGUAACUGCCGGUACCUUGACGGUACCUGACCAGAAAGCCACGGCUAACUACGUGCCAGCAGCCGCGGUAAUACGUAGGUGGCAAGCGUUGUCCGGAAUUAUUGGGCGUAAAGCGCGCGCAGGCGGUCCUUUAAGUCUGAUGUGAAAGCCCACGGCUCAACCGUGGAGGGUCAUUGGAAACUGGGGGACUUGAGUGCAGAAGAGGAAAGCGGAAUUCCACGUGUAGCGGUGAAAUGCGUAGAGAUGUGGAGGAACACCAGUGGCGAAGGCGGCUUUCUGGUCUGUAACUGACGCUGAGGCGCGAAAGCGUGGGGAGCAAACAGGAUUAGAUACCCUGGUAGUCCACGCCGUAAACGAUGAGUGCUAAGUGUUAGGGGGUUUCCGCCCCUUAGUGCUGCAGCUAACGCAUUAAGCACUCCGCCUGGGGAGUACGGUCGCAAGACUGAAACUCAAAGGAAUUGACGG